UAUUUAGUUAGCAAUCAAAUCUUCAACGGAACACAACAAAUUUACCAAAUUCGAAAAUUGUAAUUAUGUUUCGCGAUAUAUUUUGGCCAAUUAUCGUUUUCUUUAUUUCUAUUAUUAUAGAAUUGAGCAAAUAAUUUACUCAGCAUUUGUUGAACGUUAUUCAAUUCAGCUUUAUCUUUGGUUUCAUUUCUUUUUUAAUAUGUUGUUUCGCCAAACAAAUUCUGUGCACAUCCCGGCUCGAGAGACGGUUUCUAAGUUCACGCUAAACGGCACACUUAACAAUUUUACACUUUGAUUUUCAACAAUGCGAGAAAGCCCUUCUAAGUAUAGGGCAUCUACAAUGAUAACCGGACACGGCACUAAGGACAGCUGAACGGGAAGAGCUAAGCCAAAGAAUUGGGAGAAAUUUUACAGUCACUGACUUAAUAGAUAUCCUACUUAGCUCGCAAAACAAUUGGGUUGCAGUAACCCACAUGGCUGCAGAAAUCAUCAAAUCCUUGCGUCGCGCUGAAAGACAGCGCAAUUCAAGUUCUAACUCUAGAUAAGAUCCUAGAAGAGGCUUUCAUGCCAUCUCCCCCUCGUGAGGUAAUACUUAGCGGUCGUUCCGCGAGAGGGAAACGGAGAGUAGGUGGUGGUUUUAGUGGGUGAAAGUCCCACACUUUUCGGCUUUAAAUGCUUUCCCCCCCAUAUAUAUAUAUAUGCAUGACAACUCGAUUGCCACUCCAUAUAGGUUACACAUGCAGCAGAGAAUUUAAACAGCGUGUGGAUAUAUAAUUUAAAUGUAUAUAAUCUAGGCAUAUAAUCAUGAUCGAACGUAAAUGUGUGUGGGUAACAGAUCCCAAAUCAAUUAUUAGUUCUCAUUCGAUUGCCUUUCACAGUUGAACAAUAUGUUGAACUUGCUUCUGAUGGAUUCUGAAUUUAAAAACUCGACGGUACCUCGCCCAGAGAUGGGCGUUGCAGUUUGCGUCGUGAACGCUUAAUGAAUGCAAUCCAUCAAUUUGUCAAGACGAAGCUCACACAUGAGCGUGUCGGUUGUACCGAAAAAUGUCGCUUAAAUUAAACCUGGAUACAGACCACCCCAAUAGGUUUUUAGUCGGUAAAUUGCAAACACUCGAACUAUUUGCAUGUCACAUCAUGAUUAUAGCUCCGCAACUAUAUUAGGCUGGUUACAGAGUUUUUGCCGUCAGUUUGAAUGUCUUCGAGAAGGAACCUUGCUUACAGUUAAUAAUGCAAAUGAAUGGUUUAAACAAUUGGAUAAUACUAAAUAAAAAAUAACUACGAACCGAUUCUUUCUAUAAAGCUACAUAUCCCGCUGUCGUCCUUGCAUUCGCAUACACGGGAUCGAGAGACGGUUCACGCUAAGUUCACGCUAAACAGCACACUUAACAAUUUUACACUUUGAUUUUCAACAAUGCGACAAAGCCCUUCCAAGUAUAGGGCAUCUACAAUAAUAACCGGACACGGCACAAAGGACACAAACGUCUACUGAAUCAAAUAAUACUAUAAAGAUAACAAAAUAUACAUAAACGCGAUUGCCACUCCAUAUAGGUUACACAUGCAGCACACAAUUUAAACAGCUCGAGAUCGGUCGUUGAACGUUGUUAAACCUGCUUCUAAAUUUCUAGGAUUGGUAAAUUCGACGGUACCUCGUUCAGAGAUGGGCGUUGCAGUUAGCGUCGUGUACGCUCAAUGAAUGCGAUCCAUAAAUGUUUAAAGACGAAGCUCAACACAUACUUGAUUAUCAGUUUAGACGACAAAUGUCGCUCAUUAAAAUUGGAGAAGGACCCUACUAAGUUGUUAGUCGGAAAUUGGAAACAUUCUUUGUGAAAUCGUUAUUGUAAUUCUCAACUUAGUAUUACAGGUUGGUUACAGAGAGCAGACAUCGAAUUGAUAUGAUUUAUUAAUAACUAUGCCAAUAAAUUGCCUAAUUAAUAGGAGAAUUCUAAAUA